AGGAGGCUUUUUCACCUCAAAAACGUCAGAAAACUACAAGACUUCCCACUUCUUUUACUCACCUUCACAGAAAGGAUUUGGAAGGAAAAAAAAAGGAGAGAAAAGAAAGAAAAGGAAGAAAGAAAAGGAAGAGGAAAGAAGGUAUGCAGAACAAACCUAACACAAGGCUCAGGGGAUUCUCACAGAGAAGGCGAGAAGCGAAAAAGACAAGGAAAAAAACCAGGAAUAACCCCCCCAAGCCGCAGAAGCAGGGCAGAACUGCCUGAUGGUGAGAAGCCACCGCUGUGCCUGCGGUGUGUGGUGCCACGCACCGGUUACAUAUUUGGCACCGGGCGACAAAACCCUGCCCUGUUGACAAGAUUUGCAGCCAGAGCCCCCCCCCGCCAGCCGCCGGUGGGAGCCCGCAGCGGCCCCCUUCCCCCACAGCGGGCACACCCCAGCGCUCACCGAACAUUUCCGUCAAAAAAACACAAAAAACAGACAUUUCCCAAACCGCCAGCCGCCCCCCACCCCCCUCAGGGCGGAAGGGCACGGCUGAGGCGGAGAAGCCGGGUUCCUGAGGGGACCGAGCGGGUACCGGCGGCCUCCCGUAGCCCCCCACCCCCUCCCCUCCUCACUUUCUGUAUCCGCUUCAGCGCCAUGAGGGGACCGGGGCGGCGGCGGCGGCAACGGCUGAGGCGGGGGGGGGGGCGCGGGCGGGGGGGGGGGGGGGGGGGACGGGCACGGGGGGGGGCGGGGGGGGGGGGGGGGGGGGGGGUGGGGGGGGAACCGGGCUCUUUGUGUCCGCCACCGCGGGACGCGCUGGGAAAUGGAGUCCUGGAGGGGGGGUGCCCUCUGGUGGUCCUGAGUGGGGAGCCCGGAGAUGUGAAGUGGUAUCUGAGGAAGAGGGGGCUCAGGGGGGAUCUUAUUGCUCUCUGCAACUCCCUGAAGGGAAGCUGUGGGGAGCUGGGGGUCGGUCUCUUCUCUCAGAUAACUAGUGAUAGGACUAGAGGGAAUGGCCUCAAGCUGCACCCCAGGAGGUUUAAGCUAGAAAUAAGAAGACAUUUCUUCUCAGAAAGAGCAGUCAGGCAUUGGAACAGGUCGCCCAGGGAGGUGGUGGCAUCACCGUCCCUAUGGGUGUUCAAGGAAAGGUUGGAUGUGAAGCUUAGGUACACGACUUAA
rnacentral:lncRNA from 1 species